GACAGAGGUGCCGAGCGUUAGGCGGAAUUACUGGGCGUAAAGCGUGCGCAGGCGGUUUUGUAAGCCAGAUGUGAAAUCCCCGGGCUUAACCUGGGAAUGGCAUUUGGGACUGCAAGGCUAGAGUGCGGCAGAGGAGACUGGAAUUCCUGGUGUAGCAGUGAAAUGCGUAGAUAUCAGGAGGAACACCGAUGGCGAAGGCAGGUCUCUGGGCUGACACUGACGCUCAUGCACGAAAGCGUGGGGAGCAAACAGG
rnacentral:rRNA from 1 species